AGAGCGAACGCUGGCGGCGUGCUUAACACAUGCAAGUCGAGUGCGCGUCCGUAGCAAUACGGAUGGCGCACGGCGCACGGGUGCGUAACACGUGGGCAAUCUGCCCUCGGAUGGGGGAUACCCCCGCGAAAGCGGGACUAAUACCGCAUGAAAUUCCCGAGACUCCGGUCUUGGGACUCAAAGGCCGCAAGGGCCGUCUGAGGAGGAGCCCGCGCCCGAUUAGCUAGUUGGUGAGGUAACGGCUCACCAAGGCUUUGAUCGGUA
rnacentral:rRNA from 1 species